AGCUCCGUGGUGUUUAACAUUUCGGAUUGCAAAUCCGAAGUAGCCGGCUAAUUUCCUGCCGGGGCUU
rnacentral:tRNA from 1 species